GGAGGAGAGCAGCAAUUGGGCUUUUCUCCAGCUAGUUCGUACUGUGGCCCUUAUCGAAGCUGCAGCUGCUUCCAUUUAGCUGCUGUGGUCAAAAAGGAGCCCAAAGUGACAUUUUUCCUUGACGGUCGCUGUUCUGUUUGUUAUAACAGUUCUGCAACAUCUUAGGAAAAUACAAUUUCUCUUGUAUCUGCUUUUUUUUUUUUUUUUUCUAAUCAGCACUGCUCGGACUGGCUUAUGGUGGUGCAGGGGGUUGAACAUGGCACUUCGAACCUCGGGCAUGAGAGUUAUGCUAUCUACUCCUGCCUUUGAUCAGAUCAAGCCUUUAGCGGAAAUGGUCUCAUUUGGUCUUACGCGGUUAUUGGAAUUGAGGUUUAUUUUUUUUUUCUGGAUGCGGGAGGUGGACCACGUGGUUUCAAGUCCAUGUUCCCCCACUUGUAAAAGGAAGGCUAAGAUAGUAUGUUAGUAUGUAUGGCUCAGAUAAGCCUUUUAUUCGGAAGAUUAAUGUGACAAUUACAUUUGCAGUUGGGCCAGAUGAAGUUUCAGACUUCAGAUGCUCCUUUGAGUUCCUGUCCAUGGUGUUCAGAUGCUCCUGUCCGUGGUGUUAUGGAACAGAGCUGUCCUGGGACUUGGUUUCCUGGCAGUGUCAAUACUGAAGAUUGUGACAGGCCAAUUGCUAGCAAUUGCUAGAGUUUUGCUUUUUAGAAAGAUCUGUUACCAGUAAAGCAAUCUUCAUCUGCUCCUAGGAUGUACUCUGCAAUACAGAAAAGGUAACCUCAAACCACCUUCCAUUGCCCAAGAAGAAGCAGGGUAGAAACAAUCUGAUCUCAGUAUAGGGUGGCUGUCUAACUGGUCAAGGAUGAAAACCUAUCUCUGUGGACAUCAUUGGAUGAUAGAUGCGGAUAUGGGACUGAGACCAGUUCUAGGGAAAUACAAGUGACAUCAACUGAUCUGGACAUUACUAAUACUGGUGUAUAUACUUUUUAGGAGAACCAAAAGGAACCAAGCUGAGAAGGGAAAGUGGCCGGGACUACAAUGGUCGUAGUCUUAAGGCUUGAAGACUGAUCCCAAGCAUCCCAUCUUUGUUGAUAAAAAUAAAAUAUAUUUGUAAAAAGUCGAAGUGUAUUUGUCAGUUAUUUCUGUGUAUGAUUCUCACAGGCAAAUUCACAUCUUUUGCCAGGAUUUGCUUUCAUGGUUUUUUAAAAAAU